GAAUUCACUAGUGAUUCAGACAAAACACAUGCAAGUCGAGCGAGGACUUCGGUCCUAGCGGCGGACGGGUGAGUAACGCGUGGGAACGUGCCCUUUGCUUCGGAAUAGCCCUGGGAAACUGGGAGUAAUACCGGAUGAGCCCUACGGGGGAAAGAUUUAUCGGCGAAGGAUCGGCCCGCGUUGGAUUAGGUAGUUGGUGGGGUAAUGGCCUACCAAGCCGAAAAUCCAUAGCUGGUUUUUUUGGGAGAUCAGCCACACUGGGACUGAGACACGGCCCAGACUCC
rnacentral:rRNA from 1 species